GCUGAAUAUACCGGUUCUCGUUAGAUCACCGAAGUCAAGCAUCAUUACGCGGUCAGUACAUUGGGUGGGUGACCACCUGGGAACACCGCGUGCCGUU